rnacentral:lncRNA from 1 species
ACAUUUUUCACGCUCAUGCUAUUUUACAUUAUAUCAUACAUCAGCAAAGGAUGUUAAAUUAGCUUGUCAAUUUAACACAUUACCAGUACCAGUUUAUGAUCUUUUUGCCAAGAAUUUAACCUGGUGGGCACCCACAUACACAGGGGACUAUAUUUUCCCAAAGAUAACACACACAGGUAGCCACGCAUAUCCUAAAAGGAGAACUCCUUAAGGUGAGUUCACAAAUUCAGAAUGAUUUAGCCCAUCAUUGGUACGAUGCUUCACUGGUUGGUCCCCUACUGGAUCUCAGAUAAUGAAAUCAUUCUUCUAUCAUUUUGUUAUUAUAGUCCUGAUUUUAUUGUGUAUGAUUUUAUAUAACUGUCACCUUAGUUGUACAUUGAGGAAGUGAGUACAGAAAUUAAUCCAUAAUGCAGAACAGAAACAAUUAGAAAUUCUCCUCUCUGCCACUGUAGAGUAUCAACCCAUUUUUAAACUGGGCCUUAGGAAUUACCACAUGGGAAUCGAGGUGAAGAAAUUAAUGAAAGUCCCGCAGGGAGUGACUAGCACCCCUGAAAAUACCAUGUGGAAGUUUCUCU